rnacentral:rRNA from 1 species
CAUUAGGUAGUUGGUAGGGUAACGGCCUACCAAGCCGACGAUGGGUAGCUGGCGUGAGAGCGCGACCAGCCACACGGGCACUGAGACACGGGCCCGACUCCUACGGGAGGCAGCAGUAGGGAAUCUUCGGCAAUGGGCGCAAGCCUGACCGAGCGACGCCGCGUGAGCGAGGAAGGCCUUCGGGUCGUAAAGCUCUGUUGUCCGGGACGAAGGGCCGCGAGGGGAAAUACUCGCGGGGUGACGGUACCGGAAGAGGAAGCCCCGGCUAACUACGUGCCAGCAGCCGCGGUAAGACGUAGGGGGCGAGCGUUGUCCGGAAUUAUUGGGCGUAAAGGGCGCGUAGGCGGUUGGGUACGUUCGGCGUAGAAGGCACGGGCUUAACCCGUGUAGGCGCCGGAUACGGCCGGACUGGAGUGCGGCAGAGGGAAGCGGAAUUCCACGUGUAGCGGUGAAAUGCGUAGAGAUGUGGAGGAACACCGGUGGCGAAGGCGGCUUCCUGGGCCGUAACUGACGCUGAGGCGCGACAGCGUGGGGAGCAAACAGGAUUAGAUACCCUGGAAGUCCACGCC